ACCAGACUCCUACGGGAGGCAGUGGGGAAUAUUGCACAAUGGGGGAAACCCUGAUGCAGCAACGCCGCGUGAAGGAAGACGGUUUUCGGAUUGUAAACUUCUGUUCUUAGUGAAGAAGAAUGACGGUAGCUAAGGAGCAAGCCACGGCUAACUACGUGCCAGCAGCCGCGGUAAUACGUAGGUGGCAAGCGUUAUCCGGAAUUACUGGGCGUAAAGGGUGCGUAGGUGGUUUCUUAAGUCAGAGGUGAAAGGCUACGGCUCAACCGUAGUAAGCCUUUGAAACUGGGAAACUUGAGUGCAGGAGAGGAGAGUGGAAUUCCUAGUGUAGCGGUGAAAUGCGUAGAUAUUAGGAGGAACACCAGUUGCGAAGGCGGCUCUCUGGACUGUAACUGACACUGAGGCACGAGAGCGUGGGGAGCAAACAGGAUUAGAUACCCGGGUAA
rnacentral:rRNA from 1 species